AAGCAUGUGCUUAAAUGACUUGCUGAAUGGGGAGCUUCUUUGCCAGCUAUUUUAAUGAUCUGAAAGAAGAAGAUGUUUGUGUAUUUAUUGAGGUUGGAGAAUGUGGAAAGAAGGUCCUUCUCAUAAGGCAGGAGGAGCCAUGAGAUUGGAGGAGGAGCCAGGACAGAUGUACCCAGAUGGCGUUCAAAAUAUCAUGGUCUGAAAACCCUAAAGCCACCAGAACAUUCAGCAAUGAAGUCACAUCACCUGACUCAUGUUUGGGUGACAGCGUUGGGCCCGCACCAUGGUAUAUGGAGCACUCAUGCCCAUCCCAGCCUCAGAAACCUCCAGUGCCAGAUUUUUUACAAAACCC
rnacentral:lncRNA from 1 species